rnacentral:rRNA from 1 species
CCUACGGGAGGCAGCAGUGAGGAAUAUUGGACAAUGGACGAGAGUCUGAACCAGCCAAGUAGCGUGAAGGAUGACUGCCCUCUGGGUUGUAAACUUCUUUUAUAAAGGAAUAAAACGAGGCACGUAAGCCUUUUCGCAUGUACUUUAUGAAUCAGGAACGGCUAACUCCGUUCCAGUAGCCGCGGUAAUACGGAGGAUCCGAGCGUUAUGCGGAUUUAUUGGGUUUAAAGGGAGCGUAGAUGGGUUGUGAAGUCAGUUGUGAAAGUUUGCGGUUCAACCGGAAAAUUGCAAUUGAUACUGGCAGUCUUGAGUACAGUUGAGGUGUGCGGAAUUCGUGGUGUAGCGGUGAAAUGCUUAGAUAUCACGAAGAACCCCGAUUGCGAAAGCAGCUUACUAAACUGUGACUGACAUUGAUGCUCGAAAGUGUGGGUAUCAAACAGGAUUAGAUACCCCAGUAGUC